UACAGAGGGUGCGAGCGUUAAUCGGAAUUACUGGGCGUAAAGCGCGCGUAGGCGGCUCUGCAAGUCGGAUGUGAAAUCCCCAGGCUUAACCUGGGAACUGCUUCCGAGACUGCAUCGCUAGAGUAUGGGAGAGGGAAGUGGAAUUUCAGGUGUAGCGGUGAAAUGCGUAGAUAUCUGAAGGAACAUCAGUGGCGAAGGCGAAUCCCUGGAAAAUACCUGACACUGAGGCACGAAAGCUAGGGGAGCAAACAGG
rnacentral:rRNA from 1 species